rnacentral:tRNA from 1 species
GGGGAUUUAGCUCAGCGGCAUAAGCGCCUGCCUUGUAAGCAGGCAAUCGCCA